AGUACCGAUAUGGUCGUAAUUAAAAAUCCAAAUCUUGUCGUUGCCGGUCGGUGUGACAAGUUCGAGACUUCCAUCAUUCAGUGGUGGCGUAGCGGGGCCAUCCCUGAACGUCCCCGUUGCCGCUCCUACGCGGUUAUAAAGCAUCCACUUGUCGCUUGGGGGUGUGCCCUCAACUGCCCUAGUGACAUCACUUUCGGUGACAACUUCCGUGUUUGAAACUGCUCCUACGACCGAUGGCAAUGCCAUUACCGCUAGCAGACCUACGCUUAUUGUACUUAUUAUUUUUCUAAAUCUAAUCAUACUUUACCUCCCUCUUUACCUUAUAAGUAUAACCUUUUUUAAUGAGGGCGG
rnacentral:misc_RNA from 1 species